rnacentral:rRNA from 1 species
CUACGGGAGGCACCAGUGGGGAAUAUUGCACAAUGGGGGAAACCCUGAUGCAGCAACGCCGCGUGGAGGAUGACGCAUUUCGGUGUGUAAACUCCUUUUAUAUAGGAAGAUAAUGACGGUACUAUAUGAAUAAGCACCGGCUAACUCCGUGCCAGCAGCCGCGGUAAUACGGAGGGUGCAAGCGUUACUCGGAAUCACUGGGCGUAAAGCGCGCGCAGGCGGCCCCUUAAGUUGGAUGUGAAAGCCUACGGCUUAACCGUAGAACUGCAUCCAAAACUGAGGGGCUAGAGUCUGGGAGGGGAAGAUGGAAUUAGUUGUGUAGGGGUAAAAUCCGUAGAGAUAACUAGGAAUACCAAAAGCGAAGGCGAUCUUCUGGAACAGUACUGACGCUGAGGCGCGAAAGCGUGGGGAGCAAACAGGAUUAGAUACCCCAGUAGUC